rnacentral:lncRNA from 1 species
UCCCCACGGGGAGAGGAAACCUGUGAAAUGAACCCAGCCGCCGGGCCGGGGGGCCUCCGGUUCCUGGCUGAGGGGCGGCCGGAAGCCAGCUCUGCCUCCCGCGGCCUGUCCACGUGAGUGAGCCUCACCCCCUCUGCACCUUGGUUUAAGACAAAGGGACCCGGGCCACAUUUGAUCUUCGAGGGGGCUGUCCCGCGGGGGUUCAGGCAGGGGCACCACAGUCAGGAGCCCUCUCUGACCUCAGUUUACCCAACCGCAGAAUGGGCUGACAGGGACCCGCCUUGCAGAGAGUCUCUGGGAGGAUUCAGGGGGGAGGCUCAUGCCGUCAGCUGGCCCAGGACGGGGUCUGGCUCAGGAUGAGCGCUCGGCCGGCGCUUCCCGUGUCAGAUUGGCGGGGCCCAGUCAGAAUGAGAAUGUGGGGCCCCUUGCUCAAGAGAAACUGAGAACUUCGAGAUGGAGACAGCAGAGCGUUAAGUGGGGCAGGGCCCUUCUGAGCCCCGCGUAACUGCCCGAACUGCACACCCCGGGGUUGGGGAGGGUGGCCCGAGGGGCGAGAGGGGGUGGGGUGGGAGUAGGGGCAGCUGCUCCUUACAAGGAUGGAUCCCUCCCCACGACCAUCGGCAGCAGACCUCAGCCCGCGGUCAGAUGGAAAACCCCGCAUCAGAGCACCACGCACAGCACCAGGCGGCUCGCGCACAAGUCACAGCGGCGCGCGCAGGACGAUGCAAAGCAACAUGCGUCUGUGGCACCACGUUCAAACAAGGUGUAAAGUAAGAAGAAAAGUUCAUAUUCGCAGACACAGCGCCUCAGCCUGCCCUGAAUUCCCGGAAUGCACCUUUCAUCAGACCCCCUGACCUCCCGGGGUCACGCCUGCAGGUUGGGGGAGGAAUUUGCCCCCCCCCACCCGUGUCCACCCACAGGCCACAGAGCCAGGGGCUCGGGGUGGGGGGUGAGUGUGGGCAGGGGCCUGGGAGGGCCGAGCCCGUCCUCAGUGUUGUUAAACCGCCGGCCACCUCCCUCCCUGUGCGUCCUGGGGACACCGCCCCCCACGGCAACCCACUCCCCGUUGAGGGCUGAUCCUGCCCCCGGUCACGGCCUCUACCCUGUGACCUUGGGUACAGACAUCGAGAAGGACGUGGUGACUCUCCAACACGUCUUCCAAAACAGAAGCGACAGAGCUACUGCCAUCCUGGUUUCCGAGCAGCUGCUUGGUGAGCGGCAGACACCCCCCAACCCCCCAGCGCCGGCACCCACCCUGCCCUCUGUGCCGCAGCCCCGGCGGCCCCCGCCCCUGGCAACCAGCACACGACUCGCUGUCUGUCUGGACGCUUCGUGGGAAUGGGGCGCACAGGACGCCCCCAUGGCGGGCUUCUUUCGUCCUCGAGGUCCGUCUGCGUUGUGGCGUCUAUCAGAAGUUCAUUCCUUGUUGUGGCCAAAUAAUAAUAUACCUGUUGUGCGGCUGGACUGUUUUUGUUCAUCCAUUUCUCAACUGAUGGACAUUUAGGUUGUUCC